GACGAACGCUGGCGGCGUGCCUAACACAUGCAAGUCGAACGAAGCAUUUAAGUGAAUCCCUUCGGGGUGAAGCUUUUAUGACUUAGUGGCGGACGGGUGAGUAACGCGUGAGUAACCUGCCUUUCAGAGGGGGAUAACAGUUGGAAACGACUGCUAAUACCGCAUAACGUAUUUGAAUCGCAUGAUACGGAUACCAGAGCUGAGGCGCUGAAAGAUGGACUCGCGUCUGAUUAGAUAGUUGGUGGGGUAACGGCCUACCAAGUCGACGAUCAGUAGCCGGACUGAGAGGUUGAUCGGCAACAUUGGGACUGAGACACGGCCCAGACUCCUACGGGAGGCAGCAGUGGGGAAUAUUGCACAAUGGGCGAAAGCCUGAUGCAGCAACGCCGCGUGAGGGAAGACGGUCUUCGGAUUGUAAACCUCUGUCUUUGGUGAAGAAGAAAGUGACGGUAACCAAGGAGGAAGCCACGGCUAACUACGUGCCAGCCGCCGCCGUAACAC
rnacentral:rRNA from 1 species